GGAAAAGUCUCCGAAUUGGAUCGAGGUUUUGGCUACCCCACCAUUGUCAGGCAUCCCGAGCGCGUUCCCGAAGUCGGAAUCGGCAAAGGUGAGCCGGGACAGCCUUCUUCCUCCGCCCAGCCGCCACAGUGAUUGUCGUCAAGUCUGCCACAGGAGGAUAUUUUGUUCUGGGUUAACCUGCUUUUCUCCUUCGCAGGUGUUUAUCAAUAAUUGUGUAAUUUUAUUUACUCGUAGAAUUUCCGCAUGUGUUAGCAGUAAUUAUUUGAAUUUGGUCUGUAAUAUUAUAUUCAUGUUGGACCUGUAAACUUAAUAUUUUAAGUAUGUUUUGAUGGAUUGGAUGAGGGAGCUGAGCUCCCAUUUAUUAUUA